rnacentral:lncRNA from 1 species
AUAAGGUAGAUGCCAUGUGCACCAGUUCCAAGGCUGGGCCUCAAGAUGCCUGCAUGUUUCUACCUGUGCCCUUGCGCCUCUGCUGCCACCAUGAGAAGCACCUGCCAGCUGGCUUCAGGAAAAGAAUGAUACCCCCUGGAGAAGAGCCAUCCACAGCCAAGUCCAACCUGGGUCUUCAGAGAGAAAAGAAGCCUUAGGGGUACAGACUGCAAGUUAUGAAGUCUCCACCAAGGGGGGAAAAGUAGCAUCUGAACUGUCGCUGUGAAGAAAUUGUUUGCAGAUUCUGAUUCAGCACAUCAGGCCAGGUGUCUGAGCGACUGCAUUUCUCGAAAGCUCCCAGAGAUGUGCUGUGGCUGCUUUGUGUCCCAUCAUCCCCUGAGGAGCAGCUCUGAAUCAGUUCACUCACCAUCUUGGUCCCCACAAUUCCCACAGUUUUGAAAGAAAGCCAAGACCCUGGAACUGUAGCUCUCACAAUUUCUGAUACAUCUAAAUCACCUUGAAGGCUCAUUUUAGAAUGCAAAUUCCAAGGCCUUGACCUGGAAGAUUCUGAUUCACCACUGCUACUUCCCUGCAUGCCUAGACCUAAGCCUGGCUGUAGCACAGCUAUGCCAUCAGGUCCUCCCAGCUCCUGAGCCUGUCCUCCGGCCAUACCCCUUUGCUUGCAAAAAGCCUGAUUUGGUGGCCUUCUUCUCUUUGAAUGUCCUUUGCUGGUUCUCAUGAUUGUCUAGUUUUUUAUCUCUGCUCAGAUGUCUCUUCCUCAGAGGGGUUUUCCCUGACCACAGUCUAAGGUAAUGCUUUCUGCCACAGUCACUGUCCCUGUGCUUUCUUGCCUUCCUUCCCAGUUCCUGUUACUCUCUGGAAUAAUCUUGUCCCUGCAUCUGCUUAUUGGUUUGCUGUCUGUCUUCCAUGGCAACAGGAACUUUACCUGCCUUGUUUUCCACACUGAAUUCUCAGUACCUAGCACAGUGCUGGAGAACUGAAUGAAUGAAUGAAUGCACCCUAGUGGAGAAAGAAGGUGUAAAGUAAACAGUGACAUGAAUUCUGGCCUUGGAAAUUUAAGACUUCAGAGUGAAGCAGAAGUGAGC